ensembl:lncRNA
GAAGCCUUCAGGUGGAGGUAAAACUCAGACUCUCUCGAAUUGAGGGUGGAAAAAUUGUGGGCUAUAUCAGCGCUACCAAUCAAGGAGAAAAAGAAAAGGAAAAAAAAAAAAAAGGGAGAUGUGGUCUCCUUCCCUGUCAAUGGACUUUUCCAGAUCCAGACGUUUUACCUGUGUGUAUCUAAGACUGCAGAAAAUAAUUAUCAUCAGCCCCAGUGUUUUUGUACCCAUGGCCUGCCAAGCCCAUUGAGUGCUAAGCCCCUGCUGUGCCAGCAGAUACACACUUUGCUCUCACCUCUGUUGCAGCAUCUCCUCUCUGUUUCUCAGUUUGACCCACAGGGCAAACAGAAGAACAGUCUUCCUGGUGGCUCCUAUGCUUGCACUGAGAAACAGCUGUAGCUCCAACAAUACAGGGUGACACAACCAGCUUUCCCAUCCAAGGAACAGGUCCUGGGCAGUGCUGCAGAGCCAGUACAGCCAGAUAAAAGAAAAAGAUCUGGCUUUUCAGGCCUCCUCCCAGGUCCUUCUCAGCAAAGGUGACCCAGAUUUCAGCACACAGAGAGACCACUUUUUUCACAAUUUUCACAACAUUCACAACACACAAAGCUGGUGGAAAAGUGUUACAGACAGAAACUGAACGUAUUCCCUGCUCAUGGCAGGAACUAGGACUAGAUGAUCUGUAAGGGUCAAUUCCAUCAUUCUAUGAUAUCAAAUAACGAAAAUUGCCAACAGUUGAUCUGAAAUUAAUACAUUGAUUUAAUGUAAAAAACAUCUUUACAAAAAAUUUGUUCUUCUGAAAAAAAAGAGACCAAUUCUACUGUAAACACAGACAUAAUAAUAAUAUUUAUAUUGAUAAAGAUGUUCAGAAUACAGAUAGAUUUGUUAAUGAUGAAACCUUGUGUAAAAAUAAAGCCAAAAUUGAACAUGAGUAGCAUGUUCUUUACCCAAAAUACACAAAGAAUAAAGACCAUACUGAGCUAACUGAUGUUAUGAAAUUCUAGAUGGACAUUGGAGAAGAUGCAUCAUGGGGUAGAAAAUUAAGAGUCUGUGUAAGAUCCAUUGCCUUUAGUAGUGUCCAAGGUUAAAAAGCAUGCAUCUGAUCACUUGCAGUCAAGCAGAG